UACGUAGGGUGCGAGCGUUGUCCGGAAUUACUGGGCGUAAAGAGCUCGUAGGCGGCUUGUCGCGUUGUUCGUGAAAAUUUACCGCUCAACGGUGAACUUGCGGGCGAUACGGGCAGGCUAGAGUACUGCAGGGGAGACUGGAAUUCCUGGUGUAGCGGUGAAAUGCGCAGAUAUCAGGAGGAACACCGGUGGCGAAGGCGGGUCUCUGGGCAGUAACUGACGCUGAGGAGCGAAAGCGUGGGGAGCGAACAGGAUUAGAUACCCUGGUAGUCCACGCCGUAAACGGUGGGCGCUAGGUGUGGGUUUCCUUCCACGGGAUCCGUGCCGUAGCUAACGCAUUAAGCGCCCCGCCUGGGGAGUACGGCCGCAAGGCUAAA
rnacentral:rRNA from 1 species